GAACGCUGGCGGCAUGCCUUACACAUGCAAGUCGAACGGCAGCACGGGAGCAAUCCUGGUGGCGAGUGGCGAACGGGUGAGUAAUAUAUCGGAACGUGCCCAGUCGUGGGGGAUAACGUAGCGAAAGUUACGCUAAUACCGCAUACGAUCUAAGGAUGAAAGCGGGGGACUCGCAAGAGCCUCGCGCGAUUGGAGCGGCCGAUAUCAGAUUAGGUAGUUGGUGGGGUAAAGGCUCACCAAGCCAACGAUCUGUAGCUGGUCUGAGAGGACGACCAGCCACACUGGAACUGAGACACGGUCCAGACUCCUACGGGAGGCAGCAGUGGGGAAUUUUGGACAAUGGACGCAAGUCUGAUCCAGCCAUUCCGCGUGCAGGAUGAAGGCCCUCGGGUUGUAAACUGCUUUUGUACGGAACGAAAAGGUUUCUAUUAAUACUAGGAGCUCAUGACGGUACCGUAAGAAUAAGCACCGGCUAACUACGUG
rnacentral:rRNA from 1 species